AGUAAUGCCUAGGAAUCUGCCUGGUAGUGGGGGACGAACGUUUCGAAAGGAACGCUAAUACCGCAUACGUCCUACGGGAGAAAGCAGGGACCUUCGGGCCUUGCGCUAUCAGAUGAGCCUAGGUCGGAUUAGCUAGUUGGUGAGGUAAUGGCUCACCAAGGCGACGAUCCGUAACUGGUCUGAGAGGAUGAUCAGUCACACUGGAACUGAGACACGGUCCAGACUCCUACGGGAGGCAGCAGGU
rnacentral:rRNA from 1 species